GAUGAAGAACGUAGCGAAAUGCGAUAAGUAAUGUGAAUUGCAGAAUUCAGUGAAUCAUCGAAUCUUUGAACGCACAUUGCGCCCUCUGGUAUUCCGGGGGGCAUGCCUGUUCGAGCGUCAUUAUAACCACUCAAGCUCUCGCUUGGUAUUGGGGUUCGCGGUUUCGCGGCCCCUAAAAUCAGUGGCGGUGCCUGUCGGCUCUACGCGUAGUAAUACUUCUCGCGAUUGAGUUCGAUAGGUCUACUUGCCAGUAACCCCCAAUUUUUACAGGUUGACCUCGGAUCAGGUAGGGAUACCCGCUGAACUUAAGCAUAUCAAUAAGCGGGGA
rnacentral:misc_RNA from 1 species